UCCUUUCUCACGUAGCAUUGUUUCUUUAACUUCUUUGUCUUCAAUUUAUUCCUAGCAGCAACCAACUUUAAAUCAUUUGCAAUUCCUUUUUCAAAUUCCCUUUUCAACCACCCACUUUAACAUAUUCCAACCCCCAUACUCAAUCACAUCACCCAUCUUUUCACCCUUUCUACCUUAUUUAUCAAAUACCAACAUGUCCCAAACCUUAGCCAACUAAACCCAUUUUCAGCUUUAGGCCGAGAUUAGCCUCGUCAAAACCCGUGAGUUACGAACCCGAGCCAUUUAACUCCUAAAAUUCCAGUACUUAUUACUUUUCCGGAUUAAGAGUAUGAUUUUGUCAGCUCAUAAAGUCAGAUCAACACUAAGUCAAAAAAGACGUCG
rnacentral:lncRNA from 1 species